UCCGCGCGCGCCUGCGCGUGCGCGGCCUGCGGUGGCACAGAAUCGGAGGCCCCGACUGUUUACUAAAAACACAACACAGUGCAAUCAUUAAUAUGAUAGUAUACUGUGUGAAAUUUGCCCAAUGCCAUUAAUAUAAGAGCGGUCAUGGGGAACUGUGACUAAUCGAAAAUCUGGUUAAUAGCGGUCUUAACUAUGAGGAUCCUAAGGUAGCAAAAUAAAUUGGCCAUUAAAUGUGGUCCGGUAUCAAUAAUGUAACGAUGGCCUCACUGUCUCUACAACUUGCUCAGUGAAAUUGAAUUACGCGUGCAGAUGCGCGUUGCCUCCAGGGGGACGGGAAGACCCUAUGCACA
rnacentral:rRNA from 1 species